AUUGAACGCUGGCGGCAGGCUUAACACAUGCAAGUCGAACGAGUGGCGGACGGGUGAGUAAUGCCUGGGAAUCUGGCUUAUGGAGGGGGAUAACUACUGGAAACUGUAGCUAAUACCGCGUACCAUACGAUGAGCCCAAGUGGGAUUAGCUAGUUGGUGAGGUAAAGGCUCACCAAGCCGACGAUCUCUAGCUGGUCUGAGAGGAUGACCAGGCACACUGGGGCGGGGACACGGCCCAGACUCCUACGGGAGGCAGCAGUGGGGAAUAGUGCACAAUGGGGGCAACCUGAGGCAGCCAUGCCGGGUGAAUGAAGAAGGCCUUCGGGUUGUAAAGCUCUUUCGGUAGGGAGGCGUUAACUACAGAAGAAGCACCGGCUAAAUCCGUGCCAGCAGCCGCGGUAAUUC
rnacentral:rRNA from 1 species